GCUUGGCCCUAAACCUCAGUAGUUAGAUAACAAAACUACUCGCCAGAAUACUACGAGCAACAGCUUAAAACUCAAAGGACUUGACGGUGCUUUACAUCCCCCUAGAGGAGCCUGUUCCGUAAUCGAUAAACCCCGAUCCACCCCACCCUCUCUUGCUCAGCCUAUAUACCGCCAUCUUCAGCAAACCCUAAUGAAGGCUACAAAGUGAGCGCAAACGCCACUGCCGCGAAUACGUUAGGUCAAGGUGUAGCCCAUGAGACGGUAAAAAAUGGGCUACAUUUUCUAUUUCAGAAAACCCCACGAAAACCCUUAUGAAACUUAAGGGUCCAAGGAGGAUUUAGCAGUAAAUUAAGAAUAGAGUGCUUAAUUUAACCAGGCCAUAAAGCGCG
rnacentral:rRNA from 1 species